CUAAUUAUUGAUACAGUUGCUAAUUAUAAAUGCAGUUGCUAUUUAUAUAAUGUCCAAUAAAUCAGUGAAUUCAACAGUGUCAUUGUCUGAGUUUAAUGCCCUGCGUGAAGAAGUAAAACAUUUCAUGGAACUGAUCGAAAAACUGACGAAAGAGUUUAGGGCAGUGAAGCAUGAAGUAGAAGCAUCUUAUUCACACAUGGCUUCAAUACAAUUAUCAGGACAUAAUGAUAAUAAUUCUAAGUGAAACUUCAAAAUAAUUAUUAUCAUCAAAUUUAAAUUGUAUUCUUAUUGAAUAAAUUGAUUCACUACUUGGUUCAGUG